rnacentral:rRNA from 1 species
AUGGGUCGCCUCCUCUCCAGCCUCCUUGGCUUUCUACUGACUGCGUUCGUAAACAAUGCAGCUGGGGCUUCCAUUCUGACUCUGACUCCCGAGCAGUACUGGAAGUCUGCUCUUCCAAACACUCCCAUGCCAAGCUCCCUCUCUCGGCUGCUCUGCACAUCGUCGGUCAUCUGCGGGCAUGGGAAGCACGGGGGCACGACGGUUGGUGAGAAAUCCCAUGUGUUUUUCAGUGUCUACACCACAGUGGAGGGGCACUUGCACUUGCCCGACGACCCCAGCGCCGCGCUCUUCUUCUUGGAGAAGGACCUGCAUAUGCACGCGGGCCGGAAGAAGCUGAUGAAGCUCCAUUUCAUGGCCACCCCCGGCGCCGGUGACAAGUUUUUGCCACGAAGCGAGGCCGACGCCAUCCCGUUCUCCUCUGACAAGGUCCCUGAGAUCCUUGGCCACUUCUCCCUGAAACAGGACUCCCAGGAGGCGGCGCAGAUGGCGCAGACGCUGCGCCACUGCGAGGCGCCCGCAGCCGAGGGCGAGCACAAGUGGUGCCCCACGUCACUGGAGUCCAUGAUCGACAUUGCCACGUCCAGCCUUGGAACCAGCCACGUGAGGGCCAUGUCCACCGUCGUCGGUAAGGAGGGAACACCAAGGCAGGACUACACCCUGACCGACGUAAAAUGCACCGGUGCCGACCGUCUCCUGGUCUGCCACGCGGAGCCGUACGCGUACGCCGUGUUCGCGUGCCACCUGCCUCAGGCAACUAGGGCCUACACAUUGUCGAUGGUCGGCGAGGACGGCACGGCGGUGGAGGCGGUCGCGGUGUGCCACGCUGACACGGCCGCCUGGAACCCCAGGCACAUCGCAUUCCAGGUGCUCAAGGUGAAGCCUGGCACCGUGCCGGUGUGCCACUUGGUGCCGCAGGACCACGUCGUCUGGACCAGCGGCCGUGAGUUUGCCAGCUAUUCGGAUGUGUGA